rnacentral:rRNA from 1 species
UACGUAGGUGACAAGCGUUGUCCGGAUUUACUGGGCGUAAAGAGCGCGCAGGCGGUCGUUCAAGUCGAGUGUGAAAGCCCCCGGCUCAACUGGGGAGGGUCAUUCGAUACUGAUCGACUCGAAGGCAGGAGAGGGAAGUGGAAUUCCCGGUGUAGUGGUGAAAUGCGUAGAUAUCGGGAGGAACACCAGUGGCGAAGGCGACUUCCUGGCCUGUUCUUGACGCUGAGACGCGAAAGCGUGGGGAGCAAACAGG